CUGAUCUAGUGAUCGAUUUCGAAAUUCUUAAAUUUCUAUUGAAAUUCUAAAAUCUGUACUAUCUUAAGCUUAGAUGGCUUUUCGAAUCACUUAAAUUUGAAGCGUCCGAGAUUCUUCACACUUCUACAGUUAACUAUUUGAUGAACUCUUGUUCAAUGUCAGGAUUCGACUUCUCUUCCAGAAGGGUAUUUAGCCUUCGACUAUAGCUCUUCUGUAUGUAUGACGUUGACGUUCGAUCAAGUUCUUUGUUAUGACAUACAUGUAUAUAUCAAUCAGCAGACGCUCGAACUGCGAAUAUUAUGGAUGGAUUUUAAAUAUGGCUUGUGAUUCGAACUUCCCUUUUCUUCUUGUUGUUUCGCUUAAUGAUCUGUUUCAAAUAAGUUAUAUUGGCUUUAAUAUAUGUAUUUAUUUUUAAUUUUUA